rnacentral:rRNA from 1 species
UACGUAGGGUGCAAGCGUUAUCCGGAAUUAUUGGGCCUAAAGCAUCCGUAGCCGGUUCUACAAGUCUUCCGUUAAAUCCACCUGCUUAACAGAUGGGCUGCGGAGGAUACUAUAGAGCUAGGAGGCGGGAGAGGCAAGCGGUACUUAGUGGGUAGGGGUAAAAUCCGUUGAUCCAUUGAAGACCACCAGUGGCGAAGGCGGCUUGCCAGAACGCACUCGACGGUGAGGGAUGAAAGCUGGGGGAGCAAACCGG